UGGGGGAUAUUGCACAAUGGGCGAAAGCCUGAUGCAGCGACGCCGCGUGGGGGAUGAAGGCCUUCGGGUUGUAAACUUCUUUUGCUCUGAACAAGGCAUGCCUUUGGGGUGUGUUGAGUGUAGGGGUUGAUUAGCGCCGGCUAACUACGUGCCAGCAGCCGCGGUAAUACGUAGGGCGCGAGCGUUGUCCGGAAUUAUUGGGCGUAAAGGGCUUGUAGGUGGCUGGUUGCGUCUGUCGUGAAAGCUCAUGGCUUAACUGUGGGUUUGCGGUGGGUACGGGCUGGAUUGAGUGCAGUAGGGGAGGCUGGAAUUCCUGGUGUAGCGGUGGAAUGCGCAGAUAUCAGGAGGAAUACCGGUGGCGAAGGCGGGUCUCUGGGCUGUUACUGACGCUGAGGAGCGAAAGCGUGGGGAGCGAACAGG
rnacentral:rRNA from 1 species